UACAGAGGUCCCAAGCGUUGUUCGGAUUCACUGGGCGUAAAGGGUGCGUAGGUGGUCGGGUAAGUCUGAUGUGAAAUCUCUGGGCUCAACCCAGAAAUUGCAUUGGAUACUAUCUGGCUAGAGGAGUGGAGGGGGGACUGGAAUGCUUGGUGUAGCAGUGAAAUGCGUAGAUAUCAAGCGGAACACCAGUGGCGAAGGCGAGUCCCUGGACACUUCCUGACACUGAGGCACGAAAGCUAGGGGAGCAAACAGG
rnacentral:rRNA from 1 species